rnacentral:rRNA from 1 species
UACGUAGGGUGCAAGCGUUGUCCGGAAUUAUUGGGCGUAAAGAGCUCGUAGGCGGUCUGUCGCGUCGGAUGUGAAAACCCAGGGCUCAACCCUGGGCCUGCAUUCGAUCCGGGCAGACUAGAGUUCGGUAGGGGAGACUGGAAUUCCUGGUGUAGCGGUGAAAUGCGCAGAUAUCAGGAGGAACACCGGUGGCGAAGGCGGGUCUCUGGGCCGAAACUGACGCUCAUGCACGAAAGCGUGGGGAGCAAACAGG